AUUUUGUGAGUGAGAGAUGAGGAGGUAGGGAGUUUAUAUAGAGUUUAAAGUGAGUGGGUAUUGAUUUGGAGGGAGUAGUUGGAAGGUUUUGUGAGAUUUUAUUUUAUGAGGGUUUAAGAGUGAGUUGAAAAGUGACGACGAUGAAGAGAAUCAAAAACACAUGCAAUGAAUAUGAGCCACAUAUAUUUAAAAGAUAUGAAUUAAAAAAAUGAAAUUUAUUUUUCA
rnacentral:lncRNA from 1 species